UACGUAGGGGGCAAGCGUUGUCCGGAGUUACUGGGCGUAAAGCGCACGCAGGCGGUCUUUUAAGUUUGGCGUGACAGUUGGUGGCUUAACUGCCAAAGUGCUUCGAAAACUGACAGACUUGAGGGCUUCAGAGGGACACGGAAUUCCGGGUGGAGUGGUGAAAUGCGUAGAGAUCCGGAGGAACACCAAAGGCGAAGGCAGUGUCCUGGGGAGUACCUGACGCUCAGAUGCGAAAGCCAGGGGAGCGAACGGG
rnacentral:rRNA from 1 species